AACGACGUCUCAGUCGCUUUAGGUCUAUAAUUAUCUCUUACCCACCAAAAGAAACUGAAGAACCCAAGAAUCGAAUCAGAAGUGGAAUACACAGGGAAUUUUGGGUUUAGUCACUGUCACUUUUUUCUUUCAAACUCCUUACUGUUGAGGUAGAGGAAAUUUCAAAGCAAAAAAAAAAAAAAAAAAAAAGAAAAGAAAAAAAAUAGAGUAACACUCUUUGAUGCAACUGUAGUGUUACUAUAAAAUACUAUAUAUAUAUCUUUAUAGCAGUUGAAUAGGAGUGAAAAAGUCUUUUGUUCAACAACUGCGAAGACAUUGAGUAGGGAGGUGAGGCGAGGGAGGAGUGAGAGAGAUUUAUUCCUGCUUUUAAGGUAUCGCCGUCUUUGGGUGCGGCGCC
rnacentral:lncRNA from 1 species